CAUCCCUAAGCCUGCCUGCACCAGAGGUGACUGAGACAGAUCCAGGCUCCUUCCCUCCUCUCCUUUCCCAGGGGUAGGAGUUUGGAGCUGGCUGCCAUUGCUGCCCAUGUCCCAGCCAGGAGGAGGCGAGGCCAGCGGGGAAGGUGGCAGGAGCCAGGCUGGAGCAGUCGUCUGUUGGAUCUGUUCCGCUGGCAGCAGCCAGGCUUGGAGCUUGCAUUGGUGCAUGGAGUUACAAAGGGGCUGCCUGAGGCUCUGUGAAAACAUGCAGUAAGGGAGCUAAGGCCUAGAAAACAAAUUCCAGCUGACAGCCUGCAGUUGAAGUAUAAGCUUUCAAGGGCAGAGGGAAUUCCUUUAUCUCUAUGAAGUAAUCACCAUGUGCCCUGAAGCAUCAGAUUGUCUCAACAUGCAAGGUGUCAUAAAGUCCAGUUCUUCAAAGCCAGCUAGACAUUGCCUCAGGUUUUCAUUAUUGGGAAGAAAAUAGAAAGUAUAGGAACUCUUGAAACAAAUGAGAAAUGCAUUUUAUGCUUUCAGGUGCUCUGGGACAAACAGAUGAGUUCAACAUCAGGGUCUCUACCCUUUCAAGUAGCCACAAAGUAU